rnacentral:rRNA from 1 species
UACGUAGGGAGCAAGCGUUGUCCGGAAUCAUUGGGCGUAAAGAGCGCGUAGGCGGCCGUGUAAGUCCGCUCUGAAAGUCGGAGGCUCAACCUCCGAAAGCGGGUGGAUACUGCACGGCUAGAGUCCGGAAGAGGCGAGUGGAAUUCCUGGUGUAGCGGUGGAAUGCGCAGAUAUCAGGAGGAACACCAAUUGCGAAGGCAGCUCGCUGGGACGUAACUGACGCUGAGACGCGAAAGCGUGGGGAGCAAACAGG